rnacentral:rRNA from 1 species
CCCUCCGCCAGAGAACUACAAGUGAAAAACUUAAAACUCAAAGGACUUGACGGUGUCCCACAUCAAUCUAGAGGAGCCUGUCCUAUAAUCGAUACUCCCCGUUCUACCUAACCCCAACUAGCAACCAGCCUAUAUACCGCCGUCGACAGCUUACCCCAUGAGGGUAAUAGUAAGCACAAUAGCCACCGCUAAUACGUCAGGUCAAGGUGUAGCUAAUGUUGAGCAGAGAUUGGC